rnacentral:rRNA from 1 species
GACGAACGCUGGCGGUGUGCUUAACACAUGCAAGUCGAACGGUAAGGCCCUUCGGGGUACACGAGUGGCGAACGGGUGAGUAACACGUGGGUGAUCUGCCCUGCACUUCGGGAUAAGCCUGGGAAACUGGGUCUAAUACCGGAUAGGACCACUGCCUGCAUGGGUGGUGGUGGAAAGCUUUUGCGGUGUGGGAUGGGCCCGCGGCCUAUCAGCUUGUUGGUGGGGUGAUGGCCUACCAAGGCGACGACGGGUAGCCGGCCUGAGAGGGUGACCGGCCACACUGGGACUGAGACACGGCCCAGACUCCGACGGGAGGCAGCAGUGGGGAAUAUUGCACAAUGGGCGCAAGCCUGAUGCAGCAACGCCGCGUGAGGGAUGACGGCCUUCGGGUUGUAAAGCUCUUUCGGCCGGGAAGAAAUCGCAUCAGCUAAUACCUGGUGUGGAUGACGGUACCGGAAUAAGAAGCACCGGCUAACUACGUGC